rnacentral:lncRNA from 1 species
UUGAUUCUGACCUAUAUCUAUAUAUGUUAGGAGUGCUAAGACAAGCAACGAAUUCAUCCAGAAUGGCAGAUUGAAUGCGUAGAGAAAAGACUCUAGCUCAUUUUCUAGGUACGUGAUUUUACUUAAGCAAUUUUUUUAUCACUGACUUUGGCUAGAUUUAGUAACUACAUUAGCAUUUGUAACUUAAGUUUUGACCAUCACUCAUAAAUUCGCAACAUUUAAUGAAAUCAACUUUCACAUGGUCUGUAUGAGCGAUGGUUAUUCAUGUCAAGUUGCUUCAUUAUGUUUUAUGUAGCUUGUCAUCAAACGUAAGUGUAACUAAUUAAAUUAAGUGGUGUCCUAUUAAAAAAAUUGCAGUUGCAUUGAUUGCAGUUCCUUUUACGGACAAUAUUAGUCAUUCUCGACUCGUGACAUUUACUUAUCUGCUGGCAGCUGAUGUAAUUAUUUCAACAUUACUUGUUCAUUUUCCGCGACAAGCUCGUCAUCGGUCGACUGCGACUAAGCUUCUCCCACGACAAAGCCCAUAUCUCGUGACAAUAAUAUUCGCGCCAACAGUAAUAUUUAAAGUUUUUGGCGGACCGUCCACGACAAAGCCUGGCCUGCGACAAAGUUUGAUAUCUGCUCCUAAAUUAUCGAAUGACUACCCUUCAGCCGACACGCCCAACUCAUUCUACACACUUUCUCCUUCACUCCUCUCCGAAAAUCCUCUCAAAGUUUUUGCUUUUUCUCUCCGAUCGUUGCUGCCGCCACCAUUCUUUCGUCGGAAUCGUCAAUGUCACUCUGCUACCAAUACAGAAAACCAUAACAGAUUGAUUUGGUCCGUGUAAGCAAAUCAUGUUUUUCUCAAUCUCAAUUUCGAUAUUUAUAUUUACUAUUCUUCAUGUGAUUGUUUUUGUUUUGAAAAGUGAACUAUUUUUUGAGCAAGUGAUAUUGUUUAUUAUCGAAUGAUCACCAUGAAGUCCGAUACUCAAACCCACUAAUCAAACUCAGCCAUUAUGAGCUGGAAAAAUAUGCCUCUUCUUUUUUUGGUUAAUAUCUCUAAGUAUUUUGUUGGUAUUAUUUAGUCUCAUCCAGCAGCUAACCAAAAGAUGUUCCAUUUUUUAAAUUGAUAUUUUUCAUUUUUUUGCAGCCUUUAUUUAUCUCAUUCAUUUGUGUUGGCUUCUUUUAAGACAUGUAUGAUAAUAAUGAGGAUGAGCGCUUAGAGGAUGAGGAUGAUCAUGAUUUAAAGACCCAGGUGACUGAAUCUUUUACCAACAUAGCUCCUCCAUAUCACUACCGUUUGGAGAUUAGAGGUUGGUACCAAAUGCAUAAGUAGUUAGUUAUGGGUUAAGCUAAGUAUAAUAGUUGAAUUGUCCAUUGCUUUCCUAAAUGGUCAAGGCUUGAAGAAACAACUCGACAUGAAGUAUUUCGAGUUUCGGGAUAUAGUGGAGUCGGGCAAUCGAAUAGUGUUCGAGUUGAAGAAUCGAGGUUUUAGUCAUGUCAGUGAUCUUUGUUCCUUCAUGGGAUUGUAUGUAGGUGAGUGUUCCAAGAAUUAUGCCUAUUAUCCGAUAUCUCCAAUUGAUUGGAAGAGGAUGUCGCCACAAAUGAAGACCUAAGUUUGGAAGCAGUUUGUGCUGGUAAGUAGUGUGUGUUGUCAUAAGUUAUAAAUGUUAUUCAACAUGAUAAUGUCUAAUUUUGUAUUAUUUUUUACACACUAGUUUCUAUAUCGAGCUUAAAUAGAUGGCUGAAGCUUGAAAGUAUUGGGACAGAAAUGUUGGGCAACUUUGGGGGAAGUCAAGGCUCAUAAUUUAGAGGGAUAAGUUGUAGCAUGCAGAAAAGAAUGAGCUCCCAUCCGAGUGGAUUGUGAAUAAUUCUCCGACGGGUUGUCCAAUGGCUGACUAGGUAAUAUACUUGGAGUGAGUAAAUGGCAAGAAGUCCCUGGUAUUAAACAAAUAUGUACCAAAUUGCAGCUAUAAAUUGCAGAAAUACUUAUUCAAGUAGCUUUCAUUUUA